GCGCAGCAGUCGCGAAACCUCCGCAAUGCGGGAAACCGCGACGGGGGACCCCGAGUGCCGUGGCAACGCCACGGCUUUUCCGGAGUGUAAAAAGCUCCGGGAAUAAGGGCUGGGCAAGGCCGGUGGCAGCUGCCGCGGUAAUGCCGGCGGCCCGAGUGGUGGCCGCUAUUAUUGGGCCUAAAGCGUCCGUAGCCGGGCCCGUAAGUCCCUGGCGAAAUCCCACGGCUCAACCGUGGGGCUUGCUGGGGAUACUGCGGGUCUUGGGACCGGGAGAGGCGGGGGGUACCCCUGGGGUAGGGGUGAAAUCCUAUAAUCCCAGGGGGACCGCCAGUGGCGAAGGCGCCCCGCUGGAACGGGUCCGACGGUGAGGGACGAAGGCCAGGGGAGCAAACCGGAUUAGAUACCCCCGUAGU
rnacentral:rRNA from 1 species